rnacentral:rRNA from 1 species
CUACGGGAGGCAGCAGUGGGGAAUUUUGCGCAAUGGACGAAAGUCUGACGCUGCAACGCCGCGUGGGUGAUGAAGGUCUUCGGAUUGUAAAACCCUGUCGUCGAGGACGAAGGUGGGGUCGUUAACAGCGAUCUUGCUUGACGGUACUCGGAGAGGAAGCCCCGGCUAACUCUGUGCCAGCAGCCGCGGUAAUACAGAGGGGGCAAGCGUUAUUCGGAAUUAUUGGGCGUAAAGGGCGCGUAGGCGGUUUCUUAAGUCGGAUGUGCAAUCCCCGGGCUCAACCUGGGAACUGCAUCCGAGACUGGGAGGCUAGAGUACUGGAGAGGUUGGUGGAAUUCCUCGUGUAGCGGUGAAAUGCGUAGAGAUGAGGAGGAACACCAGUGGCGAAGGCGGCCAACUGGACAGUAACUGACGCUGAGGCGCGAAAGUGUGGGUAGCAAACAGGAUUAGAAACCCUAGUAGUCC